rnacentral:rRNA from 1 species
UACCAGCACCCCGAGUGGUCGGGACGAUUAUUGGGCCUAAAGCAUCCGUAGCCGGUUCUACAAGUCUUCCGUUAAAUCCACCUGCUUAACAGAUGGGCUGCGGAGGAUACUAUAGAGCUAGGAGGCGGGGGAGGCAAGCGGUACUUAGUGGGUAGGGGUAAAAUCCGUUGAUCCAUUGAAGACCACCAAUGGCGAAGGCAGCACUCUGGGACGUGACUGACGCUGAGACGCGAAAGCGUGGGGAGCAAACAGG